GCAUCAGUUUACAGACGGGAGGAACACAGGUGUGUGGGUGAGGGUGAGUUAGGAAGUGAGUGAGUUAGGGAGUGAGGGUGUGUUGUCUGCAGUUUGUCUUCAGCUUGUCAACCUGACAUCGCCUCUAUACCUUCCAGACGAAAGGAUAUUUACUUUUUUCAAAUCCUCUCAAGCUCUGUCAGGUUGGAUGGGGAGCGUCGCUGCACAGCUAAUUUCAGGUGACUCUAGAGAUGUUCGAUCGGGUUCAAGUCCGGACUGGCCGUGCCACUCAAGGACAUUCAAAGACUUGUCCCAUUGCCACUCCUGCAUUGUCUUGACUGUUUGCUUAGGGUCAUUGCCCUGAGCGCUCUGGAGGUUUUCAUCCAGGAUCUCACUGUACUUUGCUCUGUUCAUCUUUCCGUCGAUCCUGACUAGUCUCUCAGUCCCUGCCGCUGAAAAACAUCCCCACAGCAUGCUGCCACCACCAGGCUUCACCGUAAAGAUGGUGCCAGGUUUCCUCCAGAUGUGACACUUGGCAUUCAGGCCAAAGAGUUCAAUCUUGGUUUCAUCAGACCAGAGAAUCUUGUUUCUCAUGGUCUGAGGUGUCUUUAGGUGCCUUUUACUGAGGAGUAGUUUCCGUCUGGCCACUCUAUCAUAAAGGCCAGAAUGGUGGAGUGCUGCAGAGAUGGUUGUCCUUCUGGAAGAUUCUCCCAUCUCCAAAGAGGAACUCUGGAGCUCCGUCAGAGUGACCAUCAGGUUCUUGGUCACCUCCCUGAUCAAGACCCUUCACCCCGAUUGCUCAGUUUGGCUGGGCUGCCAGCUCUAAGAAGAGUCUUGGUGGUUCCAAACUUCUUCCAUUUAAGAAUGAUGGAGGCCACUGUGUUCUUGGGGACCUUUCAAUGCCUCAGAAAUGUUUUGGUAUGCUUCCCCAGAUCUGUGCCUCGACACAAUACUGUCUCGGAGCUCUACGGACAAUUCCUUCGACCUCAUGGCUUGGUUUUGCUCUGACAUUCACUGUCAACUGUGGGACCUCGUACACAGGUGUGUGCCUUUCCAAAUCAUGUGCAAUCAAUUGAAUAUACCACAGGUGGACUCCAAUCAAUUUGUAGAAACAUCUCAAUGAUGUGAAAUGGAAACAGGAUGCACCUGCGCUAAAUUUCAAGUCUCAUAGCAAAGGGUCUGAAUACUAAUGUAAAUAAGGUAUCUGUUUUUGUCAUUAUGGGGUAUUGCGUGUAGAUUGACGAAUAAAACAAUUCAUUUAAUCCAUUUUAGAAUAAGGCUGUAAUAUAACACAAUGUGGAAAAACUUAAAGGGUCUGAAUACUUCCCGAAUGCACUAUAUAUUACAUUUUAGAUGCUUGCUAAUGACCUUUGCGCUUGGAGUCACCCUGUGAGAGAGUUUGUUAUGUUAACAAUGUCCCAUGCUGCAGCAAAAGUACUACUGAAGGUCCCAUUUUAAAAAAAUUUCAGGGACGUGAAUCUACUAUUCCAAGCCCAAUUUUAAUUGUUGUAGCUCUUACUUCUCAUGAUAAUGUAAAUGUUACAUUCUUGGUCGUUGUUGCCAUGUGUUAGUGGGCACUUUAUUACGUUACACAACAAGACAAAGGUCC
rnacentral:lncRNA from 1 species